UACGUAGGCAGCGAGCGUUGUUCGGAGUUACUGGGCGUAAAGCGCGUGUAGGCGGUCCGGUAAGUCCGCUGUGAAAGUCGGGGGGCUCAACCCUCGGAUGCCGGUGGAUACUGUCGGGCUUGAGUACGGAAGAGGCGAGUGGAAUUCCUGGUGUAGCGGUGAAAUGCGCAGAUAUCAGGAAGAACACCGAUGGCGAAGGCAGCUCUCUGGGACGGUACUGACGCUGAGACGCGAAAGCGUGGGGAGCGAACAGG
rnacentral:rRNA from 1 species